rnacentral:rRNA from 1 species
UACGUAGGGCGCAAGCGUUGUCCGGAUUUAUUGGGCGUAAAGAGCUCGUAGGCGGCUUGUCGCGUCGACUGUGAAAACCCGCGGCUCAACCGUGUGGACUGCAGUCGAUACGGGCAGGCUAGAGUUCGGUAGGGGAGACUGGAAUUCCUGGUGUAGCGGUGAAAUGCGCAGAUAUCAGGAGGAACACCGGUGGCGAAGGCGGGUCUCUGGGCCGAUACUGACGCUGAGGAGCGAAAGCGUGGGUAGCGAACAGG